rnacentral:rRNA from 1 species
GAAUAAGCCCCGGCUAACUCUGUGCCAGCAGCCGCGGUAAGACAGAGGGGCGAGCGUUGUCCGGAGUCACUGGGCGUAAAGCGCGCGCAGGCGGUCCCUAAGUAUCGUGUGAAAGCCCCCGGCUCAACCGGGGGAGGCCAUGGCAACUGGGCGACUCGAGCCGCAGAGAGGCCCCUCGAAUUGCCGGUGUAGCGUGAAAUGCGUAGAGAUCGGCAGGAAGACCAAGGGGGAAGCCAGGGGGCUGCUGCGGGCUGACGCUGAGGCGCGACAGCGUGGGGAGCCAACCGGAUUAAUACCCGGGUAGUCCACGCCGUAAACGAUGACCACUCGGCGUGUGGCGAUAUUGACGUCGCGGCGCGCCCAAGCUCACGCGAUAAGUGGUCCGCCUGGGACUACGAGCGCAAGCUUAAAACUCAAAUGAAUUGACGGGGG